rfam:Citrobacter rodentium ICC168, complete genome
CCCGUUGUUCAGCCAACGGUAGCCUAAGGAUAGUGCGUCACUGGUAACGGUGAGGUGCGAAGCUUCCUGACAACGUACUCCCGCGCAAGCGGCGGCUGGUAUCCGCGAGGACGCCAUCUGGAUUGGUCUAACGACAUGACCAUGAGAGG